rnacentral:rRNA from 1 species
CCUACGGGGGACAGCAGUGGGGAAUAUUGCACAAUGGGCGAAAGCCUGAUCCAGCAACGCCGCGUGAAGGAUGAAGGGUUUCGGCUCGUAAACUUCUAUCAAUAGGGACGUAAGACAUGACGGUACCUGCAUAAGACGCCUCGGCUAACUACGUGCCAGCAGCCGCGGUAAUCCGUAGGGGGCAAGCGUUAUCCGGAAUUACUGGGUGUAAAGGGUGAGUAGGUGGCAUGGUAAGCCAGAUGUGAAAGUCUUGGGCUUAACCCGAGGAUUGCAUUUGGAACUAUCAGGCUAGAGUACAGGAGAGGAAGGCGGAAUUCGUAGUGUAGCGGUGAAAUGCGUAGAUAUUAGGAAGAACACCAGUGGCGAAGGCAGCUUACUGGACUGAAACUGACGCUGAGGCACGAAAGCGUGGGGAGCGAACAGGAUUAGAUACCCGUGUAGUC